CAGUCGCCGCGGUAAUACGAAGGGUGCAAGCGUUACUCGGAAUUACUGGGCGUAAAGCGUGCGUAGGCGGUUUGUUAAGUCUGCUGUGAAAUCCCCGGGCUCAACCUGGGAAUGGCAGUGGAUACUGGCAAGCUAGAGUGUGUCAGAGGAUGGUGGAAUUCCCGGUGUAGCGGUGAAAUGCGUAGAGAUCGGGAGGAACAUCAGUGGCGAAGGCGGCCAUCUGGGACAACACUGACGCUGAGGCACGAAAGCGUGGGGAGCAAACAGGAUUAGAUACCCGAGUAGUCCCUGUCUCUUAUAA
rnacentral:rRNA from 1 species